rnacentral:rRNA from 1 species
GAGUUUGAUCUUGGCUCAGAACGAACGCUGGCGGCGUGGAUAAGACAUGCAAGUCGAACGGGAUACUAUUUGUAGCAAUACAGGUAGUGUUCAGUGGCGAAAGGGUGCGUAACACGUGGGCAAUCUACCGAGAAGUGGGGCAUAGCUCGCCGAAAGGCGAAUUAAUACCGCAUGUGACCUUGGACUUCCUAGUCUGAGCGUUAAAGCCGGGGCAACCUGGCGCUUCCUGAUGAGCCCGCGGCCUAUCAGCUAGUUGGUGAGGUAACGGCUCACCAAGGCUAUGACGGGUAGCUGGUCUGAGAGGACGACCAGCCACACUGGAACUGAGACACGGUCCAGACACCUACGGGUGGCAGCAGUCGAGAAUUUUUCACAAUGGGGGAAACCCUGAUGGAGCGACGCCGCGUGGAGGAUGAAGGUCUUCGGAUUGUAAACUCCUGUCAUUGGUGAACAAGGCAGGCCGGGUAACUCCGUGCCUGUUUGCUAGUAGCCGAAGAGGAAGGG